rnacentral:rRNA from 1 species
AACGAACGCUGGCGGCAUGCCUAAUACAUGCAAGUCGAACGAGAUCUUCGGAUCUAGUGGCGCACGGGUGCGUAACGCGCGGGAAUCUGCCCUUGGGUUCGGAAUAACGCCGGGAAACUGACGCUAAUACCGGAUGAUGACGUAAGUCCAAAGAUUUAUCGCCCAGGGAUGAGCCCGCGUAGGAUUAGCUAGUUGGUGGGGUAAAGGCCUACCAAGGCGACGAUCCUUAGCUGGUCUGAGAGGAUGAUCAGCCACACUGGGACUGAGACACGGCCCAGACUCCUACGGGAGGCAGCAGUAGGGAAUAUUGGACAAUGGGGGCAACCCUGAUCCAGCAAUGCCGCGUGAGUGAUGAAGGCCUUAGGGUUGUAAAGCUCUUUUACCCGGGAUGAUAAUGACAGUACCGGGAGAAUAAGCCCCGGCUAACUCCGUGCCAGCAGCCGCGGUAACAC